CCGGCUCCGGUUCACGCCCACUGCCCUGAGGCAGGGCGACCCGGCGGCU
rnacentral:ncRNA from 1 species